UUUUCACUUACUCUGUCAAUUCUCAUAUCUAUACAUAGCCACCUCUUACACUGCGUCAGUGAGCCUUGCACCAUGCGUCCUGCUGGCAUCGCCGCCUGCCUUCUGGUGGUGUUGAUGCCCAUGUUAGCCACUACAGAGUGGACACCUGAAGAAAUGUGCAGUACAAAAUAUAAAGAUCCAUGUAGAAAAGACAUGGGUAAAGGCUGGUACCAUAUGGGUCCAAACCGCUGUGUGAAGGCCUUCUUCCACAACGCCCACCUCAGUUUUGAUGACGCAGAGACAACCUGUCAAAAGUUACCGGGUGGACAUCUGGUGUCAAUCAAGAGCCCUAUAGAGCUGUCUAUAGUGCAAUGUGCCAUGUACAGAGAAACACCUGGAAAAGCUCAUUACUGGAUCGGCCUGAAAAGGCAGAUGACCAAACAGAGUGAUAAUCAAUUUAUCUGGACUGAUGGAAGUGGACCUAUGUUAGGAUUCUCCUAUUGGGCUAAUAAACAACCAGACAACUUCCUAUGGAGAGAGCACUGCGUUGAGAUGAACUACUGGAGCUGGGGACUCUGGAACGAUGAGCAAUGUUAUCUGGCGAGGCCUUAUGUGUGUUCAAUAAAAGUCUAGUUCAGCAUAAACUUGAAGAGCUGCAGGUGUACCUGUCUGCUUUCACAUCUAUAGAAAUAAAUAUUCAGCAUCAACAUGUCAUGCAUCCUGUUUCUUUUCUGUUUGUACAACCAAUGAUCCCUCUGCCUUCAUGUUAGCAACAGAGCACAAAGCUUCAUGGUGUUACUACGUCAGGACUAACUGAAGGCAGAAUAUGGACUAAAACUAAAACUGGAAAACAAGGAUUUUACGUAGAUUGAACUUGAUAGUUUGAUGUACAAAGUCAUGCUGUUUAAAUUCAUGUUUUGAUACCAAUGAAACAAAGGUGGGGCCAAUGCAAUUCUUACUUAAAGCCAUAUUACUAAAGGCACAUUAAUAAAAUGAAGUCAGCCAUAAUUGAUUUAUUUAAAACUGCUCAAAGAAAAAACAAUUGGUAAAAAUUGGUUAAAAGAAAAAUACAAAAUCACACAGUACCUCACAUUAGUCUACAAUGAAGUACUAACUACAUAUCAUGAAGGAUUGCUUCAUUUAUAUAGAUCAAUUCAUAUAUUAAAAUUGUCUGAAAAGUAUAACAAAUAUUUUCAUUUCAUCUAAAAAGCAUCACUGUGGAAUCUAAAACAAAUGCAGAUAAUUGAGAAGGAUAGAGUAGGAAGAGGAUAGUCAUAAACUGCAUUCAUGGUCCUUACUUUUCAUUGUAAACAGUCGAUACAGAACACCAUGCACUGGGCGUCUGUCGGUCAACUGCCCGUGGUGUCGGUUGAUUGACACUUAUCGUGGGGGUAGGCUCGCCUGAGCCUACUAUUGGUAACCUUCUCUCCGGAUUGAGCAUUACACCCUGCGUAAACUAAUUGACUAAUUACAUAAAACAAAGACAUUAAAGGAAGAUAUAAUGUCAAUGGAUUGCUUUGAAGUUGUUUGUAAAUAUUAAUAUCAAACACGUGGCUUGAGGGAAGGACAAGGAUGCAGAGAUGGGUUGACUGAUACAGAUUUAUCUCAACACUCCACUAUUUAACCAUACUCACAAACAGUUAGGUAACAAAUGAUAAUUCUCCUUGGAAACUAUGACGCGGGUAUGAAUACAUUUAACUUGCAAUGCAAGACACACUGCUACAGGACAAGGGGAGAUGCAGACUAUAAGUAUCCAUGAGGGAGGUGAGGGAACAGGUGGACACAAUUAGGAAUCAGGGAAGACAAUCAACAGGAGACACAUGAGGAAGGGCAAUGCACCUGAAACGAGAGGAGAAUUAGACACCAAAAUAAAACAGGAUGUUCAAAAACAGACGUGACGACAGGACACAAACACAAGCUUGACCUCCUGGUAUGACAUAAAAUAGAUGAUAGCUGUCUGUUUUUGCCAAUACCAGAAAUACUUUAAUUCAUAAUUUCAUCACUUUUCGCAAUUCUUUGACAAUAAAGCCAUUGAGGCCUCGAUAUAAAUCGGUCACGGGAUCGAGAUGACUCCCUAAGCAUUCUGCCGUUUUUUCCCCAAUUUUGAUUGUCCUGUUGAGAUACCUGUUGGUUCAACUUGGUUAAUCAUGGUAGCAUCCACCCGGCGCUGAUGUAGUCCUCCAAUACCAUGUAUUAGAGGCACCCAAACACAGCGAGGAGCGAUACAGCCACUGAGAUCAAAAUAAACAGUGAAGCCAAUGCUUCUUUGGGAGCGUUAUGCUGCGUUCCCACCAAAAGCCAAGCAAAUAUUCACCCCGCUUUACUCAACCGUAAGUUGUAUUUCGCUAUCCACUAUAGAAAGAAAAUAACCAAUCUCUGCUCGUUAUUUGUUGUUUAAAUAACGCAAACGUCGGGUCCGCAAGCACUUUUGUGUUUGGCAUCAUCCAUACAAUUUCACUGACUCCUCCUGGAUGACGCGGCUUCCAGCGCUGCUUCAGGCUGACCAGUAUCACCUGUUGUGUCGGCUCGGUGCCAGCGUCUCUUGGUUAGACACAAAUAUACUUACAAGGCGUUCAGUCUCAGCUGUGUUUGUGUCAAGCAUCAAGUUGAAAUAUUUCAAUGGUUAAGAAUCACUGAGCUAGGUGACCUUAUUGUACUCACCUCCCUGGUUGGCCAGCCACGCCUCGGAGGAGUCCGGUAUCUGCCAUGAGAGUCAUCAACAGUGCAAUCCCCUGCAAGCAAUUGGCUCAAGGUCUUACAUCUUAUCCAUUUAUAUAUAUUUAGAUUUUGCCUGUAUUUUUUUAAUCUAAUUUUGCUUUAUUUUUUCUUAAAUCACACAAACCAUUAAGACAAAUGACUGUGUGUAGCAUAUGUGGCAAUAAAUGUCUCCUGAUUCUGAUCAUGCAUGAGGCAGAUCCAGAAAGGUCUAUCUGCUUGUUGGUGUCUCGGUUCAUGUCAGGCUCUCUGUGGCCUUCAUGGCAGCUUCUGUGUAGGAAAAACAUUGAUCAGCAAUUGUAAUUCCCUCUUUAUUACAUCUAUAUUCUCUUUUUUUAUAUAUCCUCAAUAUUCUCUGUUGGGAUUUUCAAUCUCCCUGAGUUGGUUGAUGAGAAGAAUCCGGCACUUUAAAAGGUAAAAAGUUAACAUUUAUUUAGAAGAGAAAAAGAUACAUUGAACAAUUCCCUGCAGCUGCACCUGGAGACUCUACACACAUAACAGCAAGCGAUCCAUCCAAGAGUCUGCCUGCUGUCAGACUCUGACUCUUUUUAGAAUUUCCUCAUGUCAUUGAGCACUAGUUUGAGCUGGUUUUGUCUAAGACCCGUCAAUAAACCUUUCUCCCCCCUCCUCCCCCUUGGAGUUCCGGGAGUUACCCCCACUUACCCCCCGCCCUACUCCCACUUUUACUCCCUUAGAUCGACCUCAGUACGUACCUUGAUACUGUCGACCACUCAAUACUUUUGGACAGGUUGGAAAACUGCGUGGGGCUCUCAGGCACAGUCUUAAGCUGGUUCAGGUCAUAUCUACAAGACAGGAACUAUUUUGUUUCCAUUGGUGACUUUGUAUCAGAACCAACCGACGUAACGUGUGGAGUCCCCCAUAGUUCGAUCUUAGGGCCGACUUUAUUCAACAUCUACAUGCUCCCACUAGGACAAAUCAUGCAAAAUAAUAAAAUUGACCACCAUUGCUACACUGAUGACACCCAAAUCCAUGUAGCGCUAUCACCAAACGACUACCCCAUAGAUUUGCCGUGCCAGCGCAUUGAUCAAAUCAAAGACUGGAUGUGUCAAAAUUUCCUACAACUAAAUCAUUGUAUUUGGUGCUAAAAAAGUAAGGUUUAAAGUAACCCAACACCUUCACUCUGUGUCCCUGAAAACAUCAAAUAAAUCCAGAAAUCUGGGGGUUAUUAUGGAUUCAGAUUUACACUUAGAGAGUCACAUCAAAUCAGUAACAAAAUCGGCCUACUAUCACCUCAAAAAUGUAGCACGACUUAGAGGGCUCAUGUCAGCUCAAGACUUAGAAACACUUGUACAUGCCUUUAUAACUAGUAGGCUAGAUUAUUGUAAUGGUCUCCUUGCAGGUCUUCCAAAAAGAACUGUCAGGCAGCUCCAGCUUGUUCAGAAUGCUGCUGCUAGAGUGCUAACAAAGACCAAAAAAUGUGAGCACAGUACACCAAUUCUUAAAUCCUUACAUUGUCUCCCAGUAUGUCAGAGAAUUAAUUUCAAAAUCCUACUGCUCACAUAUAAAUCACUACAUGGUUUAGGGCCAAAGCAUAUCACUGAUAUGCUUCCACUACAUAAGCCUUCAAGAUCACUAAGAUCUUCUGACACCAAUCUGUUAUAUGUGAUUCCCAGAGUAAAUACAAAUGAUGGGAAAGCAUCAUUUAGCUACAAUGCAACAAACAGCUGGAAUAAACUUCCUGAAGAUUUAAGACUCGCCCCAACUCUGAGCACGUUUAAAACAAGACUGAAAACUUUUAUCUUCGCCUUCUGCUAAAUGUUUUCCUACAUUGCCCUUUUAACCUUUAAUUAAACAAUUUUAAUAAGAUUUUAAUCUAUCACUCUGCACUGUAACUUUUAAUUAUUUUUAUAUUUACAAUUGUAUUUGCUGUUUCUUAAUUGUCUUUUAAUUCUUGCAUUUUAUUUCACUUUAUUGUAUGACAUGUUAUGAUGUGAAGCCCUUUGAGUCUGACUCGUGUAUGAAAGGCGCUAUACAAAUAAACUUGCCUUGCCUAUGCAAAAGUACCAACUAGAGUGGGAGAGGAUUCACCAGCGGAUCGCAGAGUCGUCCGGUAAUGUCCGUGCCCCCAAACGCGUCUGCCCCAUCGUCCGCCGCCACCCCCACGUCAGCCAUAGCCGUCCCAUUUUUUUCUGUACAAAAGGUGGAAACCCUAGUUUCAGGUCCAAACCUUGAGAGGAAAAGAGUUCUUGAGAUUCGGCCUGAGGAAUAGUGUUCCUAUCAGUGUGGUUUGUGUCUGUAAGAUUCAGUAAUAGACAACUGACAUUUGUACAUUAACAGACUGUAUAUAACUUUUGACUGCACAUGUGUGAGAAUCAAUUGGCCUAGAGUUCAAAUCGAUCUGAUUUAAACUCUGAGUAGUUUGUUUUUUAAUGAAAAUACGGAAAAGAGCGACACAGGAAGUUGCAUGCGAGUUGGCCAGCGAGCGGUGAGCAGUUGUUUGUUGUUUUUGUCGCAAAUUGUUUUCCCUCCCCUGACCCAUCAGUUGCUCACACCUUUGGAUUACCCUUCCUUCCCCCACCGUCCCUCUCUGUCCUGGAGAGAGACGUUAACCGGCUCUAUAAAAGACAGAACCCCGUAAAUCAGCCGGUCCGGUCCCAGUCUCGCCCCACACCCUGAAGCAUUGUGCUGACCAGCUGUCUCCUGUGUUCACCGCCAUCUUCAACACCUCCUUGGUGACAUGCCACGUUACAGCCUGCUUCAAAGGCCUCCACCAUCAUCUCUGUUCCCAAGAAGCCCAGAGCUCUGCAGAGAGGGUGAUCGGCUGCAAUCUGCCGUCUCUCCAGGACUUGUUCGCUUCCAGGACCUUGAAGCGGGCUAGAAAGAUUGUAGCCGACCCCUCUCACCCUGGACAUAAACAGUUUGUGCUCCUUCCAUCAGGCAGGAGGCUGAGGUCCAUCAGGACUAAGACCUCCCGCCAUACAGUUUCUUCCCUUCUGGAAUCUCCAGACCUGACUCCUCCUGACUGAAUCUCACUCUACAUGCACAUACACUUUGUUUAGCUGGGGCACUUUUAUCUUCAUUUCUUAACUUACUAACCCAUAGCAUAUAUUUUAUUAUAUUUUUAUUAUAUUCUGUACCUAUUUAUACCCAAGUGGAGGCUGUUUCUUUUAAACACAUUCACAAAACCAGUGUAGGUUGAUAUGAGACAACUUUGAGGGAUGUUAUUACAUGCAUGCAAUGUAAUAUUAUUUGUUUAAGAUGUAAUAAAAUAAACUUUAUUGAAAUGGCUCGAAUAGAUGUUAGGAGAUGAAGUGGGCUUAGAGUUGUGCAGCGACAAUAAUAGUUGUAGUUUCUUUGACAAGAAAGCAAGAUUGAGAUGGGCCACAGGGUCCUCAGACUAGCAGGCUGGUAGUUUGGUGAGCUUCCAGACAACCCUUACAGGUCUGCUAACCAGAUGGAAAGAUCCCGGCAGGGUAAACAGGUGGGCUCGUUCUGGCUAGCAAUGUGGCAGUUCAGUCUUGUUUGAGAACACAGUGAGAAGAUACCCCCCACACUAUCUCGAUGAGCUGUAACGUUUUGUACUCUGUUAUUAACCAUUCCUCUCUACCUAAUUUGACUUGAACACCGGCUUCUCCUGAUCUCCCCCUAUCACUGGCUGUCUACCAUGUACAGUGACUCCCCAUGAUUGGCCGACAACUCAGAAAAUAUGGGACGAUUCUGUACGUAACUGUACUGACGGGUGGCAACUGUAAGAUAAAUAAAUACCCCAGACAUGAUGCAAGUUGUUUGGAGUCUAUAACAAUGCUCAUCUCCACAGGAAACCGAUGAAGAGAACACAUUGUGGUACGCUGCAGCCACAACCAAGGACAAGGGCAGGCUGCAGCGUGUCAUCCACUCUGCGGAGAGGGUGAUUGGCUGCAAUCUUCCGUCUCUUCAGGACUUGUUCGCUGCCAGGACUCUGAAGCGGACCAGAAAGAUUGCAGCCGACCCCUCCCACCCUGGACAUGAACUGUUUGUGCCCCUUCCAUCCGGCAGGAGGCUGAGGUCGAUCAGGACUAAGACGUCCCGCCACACGAACAGUUUCUUCCCUUCGGCAGUCAAGCUCAUCAACAGAGCCCGGGCCCCCCCCUGACUGACUCUGACUCCCAUGCUCAUCAUCACUGUGUCACUUUCACCUGUCACCCGUCACUUUGUUUAGCUGGUGCACUUUAUCCUUAUUUUUAUUCCUAAUUUUAUCUUAUCUCCUCUAAACUACUAACCCAUAGCUUUAGUUUUUAGCGUACUAACCCAUAGCUUAUAUUUUAUAUUUAUUAUACUUUUAUUUUAUUCUAUUUUUUAUCUCAUUUGCACUAUGUUGUCCUUAUUGUCUUUAUUGUACUGUCUUCAUGCACCUUCCGCCAAGACAAUUUCCAUGUAUGUACAACAUACUAUGGCAAUAAACGUUUCCUGAUUCCUGAUUCCUGACAUUGUCUGCUGUGACAGAGAGGGAUCCAGAGGUAUUAUCACCACUAUGUGACAGAUAGUCAUCUCCACAUUCACAAUUCCUAACACUGCUGUGUAGAAUGUGGAGUGUGACAUGUAUGACUGAAUAUUAUACAGAACAUGGCUUGGCAACAGGAGGAGGGUCCAUCAACCUCCACAUUACAACUAAACACACUGCCAGAGAUUCAUAAUGUUCAACUGUAUGAUUUUAAUGUCAUGAUGUUAUGUAUUCCCAGUUACCUGCAAAGGACCUUAAUAGGAUCCUAGUGACCUAGAAAUGGUGUUGCUCAACCACCGGAUACAAAAGACGGAUCUCGAAAUCCAAAUCCUAAAAUACAAGCUAGAGGUGGGUGCAUGAUUACAAGUGAUUUGUGUUAAAUAUUGAAAUAAUAUAUAAACCUAAUUGUUGCUUUUGAAUUUUUAGUAAAUAAAGAAGACAAAAUGAAGUUAGAUACAUUUUCUUGAUUUGGGUGGUGCAUUAGUUUUAGUCGCUGAAGUGAUUUCUGCAUAUGAUGUCACUGACUGCUCCUCCAUCCUGGAAAUCUGCAGGGUAGAUGGGGUCCUCAUCAGGGUCCUCUAUUUGUUGGGCAGGGUGUGGCUCUCCUACAAUUGUGGCAAAAUUAUGGAGAACAACACAUGCCAUAAUAAUGGUGGUGUAGCCACUGCUAACGAGCUUUCCACAGGCCAAUGGUUAUCUCCACCAGGGCUCUUGUCCUGCAGUGGGCCAUAUUAAAGUUGCUUUGUGGGCCUGGAUCAGGGUCAGGGUAUCAGAGUGGGCUGGCACGGGUAAUCUCUGUCACCCAGCAGAAGGCCUUCAAACUCGUUUGAGUGUAUUUAAAGAGGGAGACAGUUGAAUAAUACUCUAUAAGGCUUUUGGCUGCUUGGAUAUACUCAUGAGUCAUGCUGAGACCCAGGCCAUUUGGCCUCUACAUUGUUUUUUUGGUAUGCAGCAUCACAUUUGAUCUCGAUAGUACAGAUAAUGACGCUUGUUACUUGCAGUAUUGUGAUGUGGUAUAUUACAUUUUGUGACAGUGGUGAAUUUACCUGCACAUUGAUGCUGUGAAAAGGCUUCAUUUACUGAAGGAGCAAUGAUUGGCUGCAUUGAUGGGACACACAUUCCAAUCACAUUGGGAAAUCCUAAAAUAAAUGAC